CGCUGGGGGAUCAGGCCUAACACAUGCAAGUCGAGCGGAAACAGGGGGAGCUUGCUCCCCGCUGUCGAGCGGCGGACGGGUGAG
rnacentral:rRNA from 1 species